UACGAAGGGGGCUAGCGUUGCUCGGAAUCACUGGGCGUAAAUGGUGCGUAGGCGGGUUUUUAAGUCAGGGGUGAAAUCCUGGAGCUCAACUCCAGAACUGCCUUUGAUACUGAAGAUCUUGAGUCCGGGAGAGGUGAGUGGAACUGCGAGUGUAGAGGUGAAAUUCGUAGAUAUUCGCAAGAACACCAGUGGCGAAGGCGGCUCACUGGCCCGGUACUGACGCUGAGGCACGAAAGCGUGGGGAGCAAACAGG
rnacentral:rRNA from 1 species